GAAUUAGCCUUUUCUGAGCUCAAAGGAGUUGCCCAUUGACAACCUGAAUAAGUGUCAAUGAAUGCUUGGCAGUUUCUUCUGUGAAGCAAAAACCAUGAAGGAGCAUCUCAUCUUUAGAAAGUUCAGCAGUCACUUUUCUGUGGGUCCUGAAUACCCAGUUCAUACAACAUACUAUAAGCCUAAAUUCUUAAAACCUUUUAAAUUACAUAUUCUGUAGGUCUUUGGAGUGUUGAAGAUUGUUUAUCUAACUGAAAUAUAUCUCUCUAUAUCUUGAAACCCAACUAACAUAAUUAAAACUUUGGUUAUUACA